rnacentral:rRNA from 1 species
GAUGAACGCUGGCGGCGUGCUUAACACAUGCAAGUCGAACGAGGUACAAGGACGGAAGUUUUCGGACGGAAGACCUUGUACUGAGUGGCGGACGGGUGAGUAACGCGUGGGAAACCUGCCCUGUUCCGGGGGAUACCAGUUGGAAACGACUGUUAAUACCGCAUAAGCGCACAGCACCGCAUGGUGCAGUGUGAAAACUCCGGUGGAACAGGAUGGUCCCGCGUCUGAUUAGGCAGUUGGCAGGGUAACGGCCUACCAAACCGACGAUCAGUAGCCGGCCUGAGAGGGUGAACGGCCACAUUGGGACUGAGACACGGCCCAA